CCUUUUUUCUUUCUUUCUUCUCUUCUAAUCGGUAGCCGCUCCUUGCCUCCUUCAGUCUAGUCCUUCUGUUGUUCUUCCCCAAGACCCCAGCUGCCGGCCUACCACGCCACGCUCGUCAGCUGCCGGCAUACCACGCCAAGCUCGGCUCCUUCAUCGGUUCAUCUUUCUUUUCUCUCCAGCCGCCCAGCCACAGCCACGCCCGGCCUACUUCUUGAAAGUUUAGUUUUAAUCUGAUGUAGUGUCAUAUUGCCG
rnacentral:lncRNA from 1 species